UACGAAGGGGGCUAGCGUUGCUUCGGAUUACUGGGCGUAAAGGGUGCGUAGGCGGGUAUUAAGUCAGAGGUGAAAUCCUGGAGCUCAACUCCAGAACUGCCUUUGAUACUGAGAGUCUUGAGUAUCGGAGAGGUGAGUGGAACUGCGAGUGUAGAGGUGAAAUUCGUAGAUAUUCGCAAGAACACCAGUGGCGAAGGCGGCUCACUGGCCCGUUACUGACGCUGAGGCACGAAAGCGUGG
rnacentral:rRNA from 1 species